GCAUGUCAUGUGAUCUCCCUGUGAAUGAGCCAAGACAAGGACUCCCAGCCUUCUGACUGCUAAAUCAUUGCUCUCUUCAUUACAUCAUAUUGUCACAGCUGUUUUGCAAGAUGACUAAUUUAUGAGAAUAGUUCAAACAACGUAUCUGGAAGUAGAUUUUUAAAAAGUACAACUUCAUUUUAUUCUCCAAAUAAAAGACUGCUGAAGCUUCUGAGAAAAAGAAAAAAGAGUGAAGGAUCAUCUUUGAUCAUGCAGUGAGCUGAUUCCAAAAUGUGGACAAAAAGCAGACUCAAAGGCAAUGGUUCCGAGAAACAGUGAAUGUCACAAGGAGACACCUGGGCUCUUUAUAAAGAGGUCUCUCUCAGCCUCCCUGCGCUUAGGGACAGUGGACAGCACUGCAGCACUGCACUUGGGGCCAUUUUAAACAGCGAAGUCACCAAAACCAAGCAAAAGAAUGCUAAAAGCACAGUACUAAACAGACCAUGGAAAAGAUAUAUGUACAGCAUGAGAAG
rnacentral:lncRNA from 1 species